rnacentral:rRNA from 1 species
UUCUACAGGCUUAACACAUGCAAGUCGAGGGGCAGCAUGGUCUUAGCUUGCUAAGGCCGAUGGCGACCGGCGCACGGGUGAGUAACACGUAUCCAACCUGCCGUCUACUCUUGGACAGCCUUCUGAAAGGAAGAUUAAUACAAGAUGGCAUCAUGAGUCCGCAUGUUCACAUGAUUAAAGGUAUUCCGGUAGACGAUGGGGAUGCGUUCCAUUAGAUAGUAGGCGGGGUAACGGCCCACCUAGUCUUCGAUGGAUAGGGGUUCUGAGAGGAAGGUCCCCCACAUUGGAACUGAGACACGGUCCAAACUCCUACGGGAGGCAGCAGUGAGGAAUAUUGGUCAAUGGGCGAGAGCCUGAACCAGCCAAGUAGCGUGAAGGAUGACUGCCCUAUGGGUUGUAAACUUCUUUUAUAAAGGAAUAAAGUCGGGUAUGGAUACCCGUUUGCAUGUACUUUAUGAAUAAGGAUCGGCUAACUCCGUGCCAGCAGCCGCGGUAAUACGGAGGAUCCGAGCGUUAUCCGGAUUUAUUGGGUUUAAAGGGAGCGUAGAUGGAUGUUUAAGUCAGUUGUGAAAGUUUGCGGCUCAACCGUAAAAUUGCAGUUGAUACUGGAUAUCUUGAGUGCAGUUGAGGCAGGCGGAAUUCGUGGUGUAGCGGUGAAAUGCUUAGAUAUCACGAAGAACUCCGAUUGCGAAGGCAGCCUGCUAAGCUGCAACUGACAUUGAGGCUCGAAAGUGUGGGUAUCAAACAGGAUUAGAUACCCUGGUAGUCCACACGGUAAACGAUGAAUACUCGCUGUUUGCGAUAUACUGCAAGCGGCCAAGCGAAAGCGUUAAGUAUUCCACCUGGGGAGUACGCCGGCAACGGUGAAACUCAAAGGAAUUGACGGGGGCCCGCACAAGCGGAGGAACAUGUGGUUUAAUUCGAUGAUACGCGAGGAACCUUACCCGGGCUUAAAUUGCAGAUGAAUUACGGUGAAAGCCGUAAGCCGCAAGGCAUCUGUGAAGGUGCUGCAUGGUUGUCGUCAGCUCGUGCCGUGAGGUGUCGGCUUAAGUGCCAUAACGAGCGCAACCCUUGUUGUCAGUUACUAACAGGUCAUGCUGAGGACUCUGACAAGACUGCCAUCGUAAGAUGUGAGGAAGGUGGGGAUGACGUCAAAUCAGCACGGCCCUUACGUCCGGGGCUACACACGUGUUACAAUGGGGGGUACAGAGGGCCGCUACCACGCGAGUGGAUGCCAAUCCCCAAAACCUCUCUCAGUUCGGACUGGAGUCUGCAACCCGACUCCACGAAGCUGGAUUCGCUAGUAAUCGCGCAUCAGCCACGGCGCGGUGAAUACGUUCCCGGGCCUUGUACACACCGCCCGUCAAGCCAUGGGAGCCGGGGGUACCUGAAGUGCGUAACCGCGAGGAGCGCCCUAGGGUAAAACUGGUGACUGGGGCUA